CGUCGUGAGACAGUUCGGUCCCUAUCCGUCGUGGGCGUAGGAAAUUUGAGAGGAGCUGUCCUUAGUACGAGAGGACCGGGAUGGACAUACCUCUGGUGUACCAGUUGUCGUGCCAACGGCAUAGCUGGGUAGCUAUGUAUGGACGGGAUAAGUGCUGAAAGCAUCUAAGCAUGAAGCCCCCCUCAAGAUGAGAUUUCCCAACUUCGGUUAUAAGAUCCCUCGAAGAUGACGAGGUUAAUAGGUUUGAGGUGGAAGCGUGGUGACACGUGGAGCUGACGAAUACUAAUCGAUCGAAGACUUAAUCAA
rnacentral:rRNA from 1 species